GAUGAACGCUGGCGGCGUGCCUAAUACAUGCAAGUCGAGCGAAUGGAUUAAGAGCUUGCUCUUAUGAAGUUAGCGGCGGACGGGUGAGUAACACGUGGGUAACCUGCCCAUAAGACUGGGAUAACUCCGGGAAGCCGGGGCUAAUACCGGAUAACAUUUUGAACCGCAUGGUUCGAAAUUGAAAGGCGGCUUCGGCUGUCACUUAUGGAUGGACCCGCGUCGCACUAGCUAGUUGGUGGGGUAACGGCUCACCAAGGCAACGAUGCGUAGCCGACCUGAGAGGGUGAUCGGCCACACUGGGACUGAGACACGGCCCAGACUCCUACGGGAGGCAGCAGUAGGGAAUCUUCCGCAAUGGACGAAAGUCUGACGGAGUAACGCCGCGUGAGUGAUGAAGGCUUUCGGGUCGUAAAACUCUGUUGUUAGGGAAGAACAAGUGCUAGUUGAAUAAGCUGGCACCUUGACGGUACCUAACCAGAAAGCCACGGCUAACUACGUGCCAGCAGCAGCCGCGG
rnacentral:rRNA from 1 species